rnacentral:rRNA from 1 species
CCUACGGGAGGCAGCAGUGAGGAAUAUUGGUCAAUGGGCGAGAGCCUGAACCAGCCAAGUCGCGUGAAGGAUGAAGGAUCUAUGGUUUGUAAACUUUAUUUAUAUGGGAAUAAAGUGCGGAACGUGUUCCUUUUUGUAUGUACCAUAUGAAUAAGCAUCGGCUAACUCCGCGCCAGCAGCCGCGGUAAUCCGGAGGAUGCGAGCGUUAUCCGGAUUUAUUGGGUUUAACGGGUGCGUAGGUGGUUAAUUAAGUCAGCGGUGAAAGGUUGUGGCUCAACCAUAAAAUUGCCGUUGAAACUGGUUGACUUGAGUAUAUUUGAGGUAGGCGGAAUGCGUGGUGUAGCGGUGAAAUGCAUAGAUAUCACGCAGAACUCCGAUUGCGAAGGCAGCUUACUAAACUAUAACUGACACUGAAGCACGAAAGCGUGGGGAUCAAACAGGAUUAGAUACCCGGGUAGUC